GCGGGAAGAGUGCCUCCGCGGAGCGGCCCGGCGGGAACUAACAGCCGCCGCGGCGGGAGCUCCGCUCGAAUGGCCGAAGGCUGGUCCUUGUCUUCCCCGCAGAUCCCGAAAGCCUUCCGCUCCCUGGAGCUGCUGCCUUCAGUGCACUCAUUCCCUGGACGUUAAGGUUCACGUGGGCACCAGCCGGCCAGGAGAAGUAGCGACAUCCCCUACCCAUCAUCUCUCCAAGGCAGCGCCCGGGCCACCAAGGCAGAAAACCAGCUGCAGCGCGAGCGGGAACCUGAGAGACGAGCCCGAGACGCCCGGACGAACGCCGCCGAAGCUGGGCGCGCAGGGGCCCGAGAGCCUUCCGGCCUAAGGGGAGACGCACGAACCCAGCAGAAAGUAGCUUCAGCUCGGACUGGGCCCAUCUCAACCCUUAGGGGGUGACAGGAUAGAUGGCCACUGGACUUCGGCAAGAACGAGCCCUUGGACGGGCUGCUGCUCCGACAGCGCCGCGCAGUGGCCAAAGCCGGGGCAGGCGAGGCCUAAGACCCAGCUGCGCUCAGCGGUCAGUCAGCAGGUUACUUCCUCUUCCAGGCCUGUUUCCUGCUCUGCGUAGGAAAGAGCAGGGACCCAGGAAUCAGGCUUCUAGGGUCCCAGUCCUGGUUUCACCAUUUACUGGCUCUGUCACCCUAGAUAAGUUCUGUAAACUCUUUGUGCCUCUGUUUUUUUUCUCUGUAAAGUGAAAUUAAAAACACCUACCUCAUGACUGCUAUGUAAAAGUAACCAUAUCACUCUAGGCCACUUACGAAGAGGUAUUGAGAGCGCUUUGCAGACUCUGCAGAGAAAAUUAGGGGUUUGGAGUUGUGUAGUCUCCCACCUGGAUCUCAAGCCCUGAUCUAGCUCCCAACUGGGCUACCACUGCCAUCUAAUCCUCACCAGUCACUGUGCUGAAUUAGGUCCUACUGGGAUAAGCUCUGGAAGCAAGGUGGGAGGAAUCUGCAGCCCCUGAAGGCUGUAUCUCAACAGGGUUAAUGGGAGUGGAUAAAUUAUCCUUUUCAUCUAACAGUAGCCUCCAAUCUAUGGCAUAAUCUAGUGUAAAUACAACUCUCUGAUUCCACAGGUGGGGCAAAAGAGGCCCAGAGUAGGGAAGGAACUCACCUAGGCUCCUACAGCAAGAUAAAGCAGGGCCAGGUGCAACCCUCGUCACAGAAUCCUCAUGAGGUAGUCUCAAUCCUCACAAGUCAUCUGGCUAAGAGCAGUAGGAAAGAGCAGGAACCUGGUCUGGCUGCUCAUAUCCUGUGAGAGCAAGUCCUCUGCCCAAACAUCUACCCUACCACCACCCAUCCACACAUCUGCCCCUCCUAAGACCAAGGGAAUCCACCUGGUGUGCUCAGUCUUCAUAAAGAGACUGUGAGAAAAUGGGAAGAGGUCCAGUCCUCAAACCAUGGGCAGGAAAUUGGGCAGGGACUAGUAGCCCUGGAAUUGGAAUUUCCUGGGUGAUAGAGCCUUCCAGAAAAAAAGGGAGGAUGCCUUGGAGAAAAUUUCUUGCGUGAGUCCAGAUGAACUCACAUACCUUGGGUUGCCAGAUUUAGCAGAUUUAUUCUAUUUGGCAACCCCACUUAUACCCCAGGUUUGCUUGUUACUACAUGGAGUGCUCUCUCACACAGACAUCCCACACUAUCUACCACACACUAGCUCCAACCCAGCUUAGCUCUGCUAGUGUCUAAGUAAAUGGAGAGAAAAACAGCAUUGGCAUUAUCCUAUUCCAUCUCACCUUCUGAAUGUCUUCAUUUCUAAAAUAGCAAAUGUGAACCAGUAACUUCCUUCCUUGCUAGUGCCUUCCUGGUUCCCGAGGCUCCUGCCUCCUUCCCAACUUCAAGGUAACACCGGCUGUGGCAUUUUCUGCCCAAACAUGCUGGUUCUAAUGUUCCAGGCAAGCCUGUCUACCCCACAGCUGCAGCUGCCAGCCCCUGCCUCUGCCUGGCCCUGCUGUACACUUCCUGCUGCUCAGACCCAGGAUACAGGCACCCCAGCCCCCAUUUUGCAAACCAGGGGUGGAGUACAAUCUUAAGGAGUGAUCCAAACCCUCCAAGUACACACACACACACCUUUAUAGAGUGAAAAAUGAGGCCCAUGAGAUCAUGUGACUUGCAACAGGGUUUUGAAGGUCCCCCCAGCCCCAUAUGGGUUGGACCCGGGUGUCUGGACUCCCAGCUCAGAGCUCCUCUAUUUAUCCAAGUAACUCUGUUUAGUAUCUGGCCAAGCUCUACUCUUGCCUGAGGAAAGGUGUUUAUAGGAGCCUCUCAUCACUCCCAAGACUCUGGACCAAUUUGAUUUGAGUAAUGCCCUGGGGGCUGGGAGAAGGGCGACCCUGGCAUUCAGGAUUCCUUUAAUUUUCUGACCUUCUCCCAUGGCUCCAACCUGUGGGCUUAGCCUCUUUGAUGUCCUCUUGUUGCAUGUCCCACCCAGGGUGAGUUUGUCACUGCCCUCGCAAGAACCUGGGUGGUUUCUCAGAAGCCUGGGCUCCAGCACCCAUGCCUACAGCCUCCAAGAAGCAGGAGGUGACAGGCUGUAUGGGUCUUGGUUACAGUGUCACUGGGAGUGCCCGAUCUCCUCCUUCCUCUGCCUUAUUGUUUGUCCACGUCCCUUGAGCAGCCCAGAAACGACGGGGAGGAAGCGUUUGGAAGCACUUGUUUGGGAGUUGUCUACUCCAAAAUGUUCGGGCAACCGAGGAGAAGUUGUUGGGUGUUUAUUGCAAUGUGUUGCGCUCAGUGGCGUCCUUUCCUCCUUAUGGUCCCUCUAGACAUGCUGUUCUCCUCGGCUGGAGAAAUGAGAGCUCUCAGACCAUUAUGAAAAAAUAAAGUCAAUCGCGAAACUGGUGAAGAGUGGCACAGACCUAGCUAGAGGCUGGAACGCUGAGCAGAGACCUGUAUCUCACAUGGCCUUCCCACAGUUAGAGCUCUGCGAAUGAGGAGUGCCGCCCCUCCGUGCAGCCUAGCCUGGCUUGCAAAGCGCGACCCGAGCGGGGAAGGGGACACAACGCCCCCACACUUCUUACUCCCCAACUAGGCCAGCCUCGGGGAAAGCGGCGAGACCGGCACAGUCACGCCCUCUUCCCGCAGCUCCACAGGGUCAUACCUUUGGGGAGAGAUGGUUGUUUGGCUACAGCCAGUAAAUACAUCUCCAGACCCCUUUCUCCACCCAGAUCUUGGUCUGCUCGAGAGCGAUCGGCUCCCCUGACCCUGGUGGGAGGCGGUAAACUCCAGUUCGUGACCUGCAAGGGCUUCCUACACCUGGGACAGGGACUCCGGGUUAGCAUUCAGGGAGAGGCCGGACCCCUCUGCCAUCACAGGAAUGAUGGGGUCUCCAGUUUGCGCCUUCACGCCUGCAGGCUAUCGGCCACGCCCUGGCGCCUGGUAGGGGUUGGGCGCUUCUGCACUACCUCCUACACCUCGGCGUGCCCUCGGAGGAAAUGUCUUUCCUUCUUUUAUGCCUAGCCAAGGUCCGCCCCCGUCCCCAUCCUCCGAGCUCCCCCACGCACCCCGGGACCACGUGGCGAGGGGCUCUCUUGAGCACCCUAGGGUCCCAGCACGGCGCGGCGGUUAAAACUAGGACGAGCUGUGGAGCCUAUCGACUCUCGUUCGUGGGAAGAGGGUUGCCGGCGCAAGGGAGUGACAACUGCGCGGCACCCGGGCCGCAGGCUUUGCAGCGACCGCUGUAGGGUGGACUCCACACUCUUGGGAGGUUUUCAGCUGGGAGUAGGGGACGUUCCAGCUGUGGCAGAGCUUGAGCUUCAAGUCUAAGUGCCCCUACUGUCUAAGUUGGUCCUGGAUUUUAGAGUCCGAAGGUCUGUUGCUCUGUCCGCGUGUGUGUGUCUGCCCCUCCCGGCUAAGGUGACUGUGUGCCCCAGGAUGUCCCUGUGUGAUCGGCGCUGUCGCGAGUCCUCUCCCCAUCACACGAUCUAUGCCUGGAACUGCCCUGGAAGGCUCGCCAGGCCGGCCCACAACUCUCCCGCCGUGCCUGAAGCGGCGCGACCUGGUCGGGCACUGCAAACCCACUCCUGGCCCGCAGCGUGACCCCGGAGGGGAAGGCGGAUGUGUGAGUGUGCGAGCCUGGGACUAUGGCUAGGAGAGGGGGGAGAGCGUAGGGGCGCGGCGCUGCGGAGAACCAGGGGGACUAAGGCGGCGGCCUCCUUCCUUCCGACUGCACGCCGCCUGCUGGAGCAGCAUUACCUCGGAACCAGACGCCCUGACACAGCCCUGAACUGGAGCAGGGCAGGAGGGAGGAGAGGCCAUAGCCAUCCGGACCCGGUCCUCCUACGCACUUCACACACAUACACGCCUUAGUGUUUCGCCUUUCAGAGACCCCAGGAGUGUAACUAGUGAAGCCAUAAGUCCCCGCGUGGAUGCGGAAUAUUCCCAGGUAGCUGAGCCAUCUUGAGCGGAUUCGGAGCCGCGUAAGCCCCACAGAAGCAGAGCGAGGGGCCAGCAGGACUGGCCUUGCUGUGCCCACGCUGGUGACGGAUUCCCGGGGAACAGCGACCUCUGGAGGAGCCACGCAUCCACGCAAAGAGUCAGGAACGAAAGAAGCCUUCUGGAGAACCCAUCUUCUCCUUUUCUGUUCUGAGCUCCUCAGAACCUAAAGCCUGAACCCUGGACUCCAGCAUUUGGACACCGCACUGUACAGCCCACCUGCUUUCUGCCGGGCGCUCCUUCAAAGAGACCCUUAAUCUAUCCACUCACCCACCUUUUGCAUUGCAUGCUGGGUGUGCUGUUUUUCUUACACACAGUAAAUAAAGACUAAGGUUAUUUAUCCAGAACUUGGACUGUAGGUUUUCUAAGUUCAUUUCCCACAUAGGGAAAUUGAAAUCCAGAGAGAGGACUGAUUUGCUCAAAGUCACACAGCAAUGGUAGCAGAGGGGGAACUAGAUCCUAAUUCUUCCAUUUCCCAGCCCAGAGCCCUCUCCAUUUCACCCAAAUGAGGAGCGGGUAGUGUGGGGAAGCCUCAUAUUGAGGAAUGAGGCCUGGUUGGGGGAGUUUCGGCACUUGGCAUAUGACAGAAAAUACAGGAGGGAACUGGGUGGAGGUGGGCAGGAGGUCACUGCUCCAGGUUUGUUCUUGCAGCUGGAGAGGACCAGUGGAGACUGAGUCAAGAGGCAUGAAAUCUACUCCCAGUCCUGCCCUGACUCCCUUUGUAACCAAACAUGCCCCUGCCCCUCCCAGGUCUUCAGUUUCCUCAUGACAUGUACAACUUCUGUUCUAGACAUAUUGGCUUUAGAAUCAGGGCUCUUAACUACUGUGCUCUACCUAAAAUUCCAAAUGUGAGCAGUUGCCAUUCACAGUAGUAAUAAUAAUCGUAUUUCUGCACAGUGUUGCCCUCCCCAGGCUUAUGCUCAUCCCAGCUUAGAUCAGCCCCAUAUGGCAUCAUAUGGUACCCUAGUUGAUACCACAGGUUUGGGCCAACCCAGAGGUCCCCAGGCUAUUUUCAGUCAUGGAGUUUGCCCCUGCCCCCACCCUACUUAGUCUUAUACAUGCCUCUUUCAGGGCUCUCACAAAGAUGGAGCCCUGGAUGGGGGAGGGCAGAAAGGGGGAGACUGCAGUGUUUGGGUAGAUAUCUGGAGGCCUAAACAGUGGAGGUCCAAAGAGCUAGCUCCCUACACCUACCACUGAUGCCCAGGGUCUGGGCACUAGAAAGAAGGACCCAUCACUCUGGGCAGACUGACAGCCAGAGCCAGAUCCCACCCAGGAUAAAGGUGGGAAGUGUCCAGGCUUCCCAGAUCCAGAAGCCAAAAUAUCUAGUGAAGGGCCCUAGUGAAAGACUCAGGAUGGGAAGGCCACUGGGGAGAAGGGCAGUGAGGCUGAGAUGGUGAUGAAAUU